UACGAAGGGGGCUAGCGUUGCUCGGAAUCACUGGGCGUAAAGCGCACGUAGGCGGCUUACUAAGUCAGGGGUGAAAUCCUGGAGCUCAACUCCAGAACUGCCUUUGAUACUGGUGAGCUUGAGUCCGGAAGAGGUGAGUGGAACUGCGAGUGUAGAGGUGAAAUUCGUAGAUAUUCGCAAGAACACCAGUGGCGAAGGCGGCUCACUGGUCCGGUACUGACGCUGAGGUGCGAAAGCGUGGGAGCAA
rnacentral:rRNA from 1 species